GCCCGGGUGGCGGAACUGGUCAGACGCUGCCGGCUUAAACCCGGCCGCCCGCGAGGGCAUGUGGGUUCGAGUCCCACCCCGGGCA
rnacentral:tRNA from 4 species